rnacentral:lncRNA from 13 species
AUGCCCUUGCCUUUUAUUUCUAUAAUCUCCAUGAUUUCCAGGACUUUCUUUCUCGAUUGAUUUUUUCCUAUGGCUAUAGGUCAUAUUUGCCUGCUUCUCAGGUUUUUUUAUUUUUAUUUUUAUUUUUUGCAGGGUCUUGCUGUGUCACCGAGCCUGGAGUGCAGUGGUGGAAUCACAACUCACUGCACCCUCAACCUUUUUGAGCUCACGCCAUCCUCCUAUCCCAGCCUUCCGAGUAGCUUGGACUACAGGCAUGCACCACCACACCUGGCUGUCUGCUUCCUUUUCAGAUGAGAAAAAGGAGGCAGAGAGAUGUACAGUGAC